rnacentral:lncRNA from 1 species
UUAGGUUGCUUAUCUAUUUUCGCGCAUUAUGUUCAUCUCUAAGAAGUAGUGUGGCAUGUGUGAUCGACUGUUUUUAUCUAAAGAAGCUUUCCGUUGUUCAAAACGAAAGGGCAAAAUAGCAUUUGCUUGGUUCCUUCUUGAAAGUACGAAAAAUAUAAAAUUAAAAACCAAAGUUUAGAACUGCAAAAAGAACUAUCUCAAAAACUAUAAUCAGAAUAUAUUUUGUAAAAACAAUUUUGAUAUUGUUGAUUCACGAAGUUAAAUUUUGGUUGGAAAUCUUAUUUUAAAAUUGAAGACGUAGGAGAGGAGGGUGAGAAGUUAAGUGCCAUUCAAGUUUCGUCCCUUCAUGAUGAUGACUGUACGACGCUGAAACCAAGCAAAACAGGAAUAAGGAUUAUCUCUCACCUUUCUAUAAUCUUCAUCAAAAGUAAGGACAGAAAAUGUUUGGCCUAAAGAUCCUGUUAUCAAAGAUAUAGCACCAGCAGAUCCUCCUAGAAUGAAAUGUCAUUUCUUAAUUCAAGAUAUUAUUGGAAAAAUUAGUACGAUUUCAGUGCUAACCUUUGAAUAGUUUACUAAGUAGGUAAAGCAGUCUUUUAAUAUAGAUGUUUCGAUACAUUUAAAAUAUUUUCUUAAGUUCACGAACGUAUUUUUCCACAAUGCCCUUAAAUUGUUGAAAUAAGUUUUAUUUUAAUACACACAGUA